AAUAAAAGGUUUUUUUGUCUGAACAAGGAGUUUGCUGAAUGGUCAUAAGACAAGGAUUGCCUGUAACUAUUAUUGCUUCUCUCCCUUAUAGCCCAAGUGGGAAAAACAUCCUUGAUCAUGGCUCUAGUGGGUGAGGAAUUCCCUGAAGAGGUUCCCCCUCGGGCGGAAGAGAUCAUCAUUCCUGCAGACGUCACUCCUGAGAAGGUCCCCACCCACAUUGUAGACUAUUCAGAAGCCGAACAGACAGACGAAGAGCUCCGAGAAGAGAUCGUCAAGGUGAUCCCAAAAUCUGAAGGAGUUCCCCUCCCCUUCCUCUCUUUACCUCUCUGAACCUAGACACCAAAACUCUUCCCAAAUCCCUCCCAAAGCCUGGUGGGGAUUAACCUGAUCUGUUUUAUCUUCGCUUCAUUCAUGCUUGCCAGCAGUAGAGUUAUGGGAGUUUAACCUACCAGCUUUGGAGAGAAGCAGGCAGGAGAAGACUCAGGGGAGGAGCAAGCCACAAGGUCCCUCCUUCUUUGCAGGGAGCAUGAGUCACUUAGCUUCAGCAGGGUUACCAUAUAUAUAUAUAUAUACAGCUGUGUUGCCAUGGGAAGCCCCAAGCGAUGUCAUAAAGCACAAUGGACAUUCAGUUGCAGAGAGGGACAUACUAGCCCCCUGCAUAUGGAGAAAA